CUACGGGAGGCUCCAGUGGGGAAUAUUGGACAAUGGGCGCAAGCCUGAUCCAGCCAUGCCGCGUGAGUGAUGAAGGCCUUAGGGUUGUAAAGCUCUUUUACCUGGGAAGAUAAUGACGGUACCAGGAGAAUAAGCCCCGGCUAACUUCGUGCCAGCAGCCGCGGUAAUACGAAGGGGGCUAGCGUUGUUCGGAUUUACUGGGCGUAAAGCGCACGUAGGCGGAUCUUUAAGUCAGAGGUGAAAGCCUGGAGCUCAACUCCAGAACUGCCUUUGAUACUGGGGAUCUCGAGUCCGGGAGAGGUGAGUGGAACUGCGAGUGUAGAGGUGAAAUUCGUAGAUAUUCGCAAGAACACCAGUGGCGAAGGCGGCUCACUGGCCCGGUACUGACGCUGAGGUGCGAAAGCGUGGGGAGCAAACAGGAUUAGAUACCCUCGUAGUC
rnacentral:rRNA from 1 species